GAAAGCCGUAUGAGGGAAAACCUCACGUACGGUUUGAUGAGGGGAAACUGAAAGUAAAAAGAGAAAGCGAGAGCUGCCCCUUUUGAAAUCAGUUUUCUACUCUAC
rnacentral:ncRNA from 1 species